rnacentral:lncRNA from 1 species
AGGAUACCGCAAGAGACCGAGACCCCAUGAGAUCCCGCUUCGCUUUCGCUGGCCCCAUCAGAGGGCUCUCUCGCCCUUUUCGCUGCUCCGGCUCCGCCGCCGAACAUCGACCAACAAAAACGCGGUCAGUCAGCAGACCAGAGGCUGUCCCACCCCGCGCCGACUGCCCCUGGACCCUCCACCAGGCGCAACACAAGCCGGGGCCGGCCGGACAGCCAGCAGGCGCCGCUGUGGCGCCGCCUUCAGAACCAACAGCCUCCAGCUACCUCCGAGCUUCCCGUCUAAAGCCUCACAGAGGUGAGGACUGUCCGCGCAGGCGCGCCCCUGACGCGGCCCGCGCUCGCCACUUCCGCCCGAGCGGGAGGCGGGGGAGGUGACACGGAGCCGGCAGGCGCGAGCUCGGAUCCUCCGAAGACCGGGACUCCGCGCGGACCUGAGACUCACCAAGUAUAACGGCUGCCAGCGACACUGAGCAUCCAGUUCCUCGAACUCCCGCUCGAUGGUAGCCGACAUGGCGGCGGGGGAGCGCGAGCGGAACCACCACAGCGGACAGGCUCGGGCCCCGCUCUAUCCGGGGAGAGCGCUGGCACUGUGGCGCAUGCGCGCUCCGCGCCCCGCCCCGCCCCCACGUUGAGCCAAGCCGGCCUUGGGGAAAGUACCUGGAGCGUCGGACGUCAGCGCGCCGCUUGGGCGCCGCGUGGGUCGGACGUCGUGGAGGAGGCGGGGCGGGGCGGGGGCGUGGUCCUGAGGUUGCCCAGGUGGGAGGGG